rnacentral:rRNA from 1 species
UACAGAGGGCUCAAGCGUUGUUCGGAUUCAUUGGGCGUAAAGGGCGCGUAGGUGGCGCGGUAAGUCAGGUGUGAAAUUUCGGAGCUUAACUCCGAAACUGCAUUUGAUACUGGCGUGCUUGAGGACUGGAGAGGAGACUGGAAUUCAUGGUGUAGCAGUGAAAUGCGUAGAGAUCAUGAGGAAGACCAGUGGCGAAGGCGGGUCUCUGGACAGUUCCUGACACUGAGGCACGAAGGCCAGGGGAGCAAACGGG